rnacentral:misc_RNA from 1 species
AAAACCCCCUCACACAUAAUGUGGUAUUGGUAGAAGUGGAUAGUACCGACACUACUUUGUCUUACUCUACUGAAAUUAAUAGGCCAGAGAAGUGGACCAUGGUAAUAGACUCUAAGAGUGUUUUAAAAUGCUAAACUAGUCUUAACCAAGUCAUGUUCUGAGCUACUGGACCCCCCCAUAUAGUCCAAACCAAAGA